UAUUUUAGGGCAUGUUUGUCAAAUGCUGUUAAUUGCAUGUCUAAAAUUGAAGAGAAAAUGCAGGUGUGCUAUAGUUCGUUCCUACUUGUAAGGUAGUCUACUAUGCAUGCAUAUGCAGAGUUACGCGUAUAAAAGUAAUAAUUCUUACUUAUCAAUAGGUCUAUGGUGAGGACCAUAUGUGUUUUUUCAAAUACCAUGAGACUAAAAUUUAAUUCUAUCCGUACUCGUGUGUAUGCACAAGAAGUCCUUCCGAAUUUCCUCUACACAUAUACAUGUGUAUCUUGAUAAAGGAUUUAAGGUACAGCUGUAGAGUACAUUUCGAACAGCCAUCUCAAGGAUAUACUCUGAAGACAGUGAUGUGCUAGUUCAAGGUUUGCCUGUUCAGAUACUUCAAUAAUAAAGAAUGGGUGAAGAAAUUCUCACAUUAUCUUGCUGCCUAAUAGUACAUUUCAGCUGUAACAAAACAAAUUAUCUGAUGAAAGCUUCAACCACGAGAAUCUAGAAAAGGAUGUCAAGUCCAAAGAGAAGGCUAUAUAACAAAUGGUUGCUGAAUUCAUGAAGACUAGCUGGGAUGAUACAGUACUUUUCUACUCCUAUGAACCGUAUCUAAACAUCAUUUGAGGAUCCCUUUCUCAAAAAAAAGAAUUUGCAUAUUCAAAGACUCUAUAGAUCAUGUUUAUUUGUACGUUGUUUAAAAUUCUCCUUGAGAAACUUUCACUCAUAUGGGAAUGCCAACAUUUGUCGGUGGAGAGCUGCAAAUUUUGUCCUUUACUUGGCACACAUGGCUAAUUGAACAAUGAGGGAUCUUUUUGGUACUAGCACCUACUGCAACACAGCACCUCUGUAUAUACAGUCUCAUCUAUGUCUGACUGUGGGAUUUUGAACCAGCAAUUUAUGGAUCAACUCCUUACUCAUUACUCUCUAGUAGAUGCUCUUGCCACUGUGCCAAGCAGGUGACUUCA